GCUGAUCUUGUUAGCUUGUCCUCAGUUCAUUGUGUUGAAGCAGAUACUGAUAUACAGUUUGGUGUAUGAUAAUGUUUGUGUAUAAACUGACCUGAACUACCCGUUACUUAUAUAGAAUAGGUACGGUUGUCAGUUGCAGGAAAGUGUGCCACAAUGUCCCUCUCCUGCUGAACAGCAACUGUGGACCCCUUGUCACUCCCCCGGGCCGUAUGUUUCUAUUAUCACGUGUCAUCGUUGUGUCCGCACGCGCAUCGCCUCUAGACUGUUUAUGUUUUGGACUUCUGGGAAGGCAGCUAGGUAACCAGUACAAAGCGACCUACCCGUGACGUAAGGCCGUGUUUGUGUAUAUAUACCAGGACCACGUGGCUUUGUUAUCGUCCCGCCAAUGACUCGCUCUGUCGAUUGUUUUGGGAUUUUCCAGUUGAGAUUUGAGUUUACGUGUAUUAGCUGUAAAGCCGGCUAUCACAACUCUGGUGACUUUUACCGAUGACUGAGGUGAGAGGGACAAAUGUGACCUCCUACAUUGAUGAUGGCGGCUAACGAGGCUAUACGGGUGUGUGGGGAGAGGCUGAGAUACAUAGGGGACAGUAUGCACACGGAGUAUGGCCAGGCGAAUGAUCGCUGGACCAAAGGUACGUGUCGCAUGGCAAGGGUCUCUCUAAUCAUCCUCUCCCUUCUCAUCAAAAUCGCCUCUCAUACGGAACACCUCUGAAUGGGGACAAAAGAAUUGUCUGUCUACCUCGUCAAAGUCUGUGGAGCCAUUCGAGUAAAUGUGUACCUGUUUAACAGGCUCCUAGUACUGGCCCUGACCGCCAGUCGUACCAGGUGAGGAGUACUACUGUAGGAACGUCCUUACAAUAGCCGUCCAUGCAGGCCAGGAGGCGUGUCUGGUGAUUCCUCAAAAACAAUGAAAUAUGAGGUGUGCUUUUCUUAUGUACGUUUUACAAAUUGUAUUAAUGGAUUUGCUUACUUUAACAAAUAUCUGUCUGCCCGGUCUAUAAUAAAUAUCAGAUAAUGUGACUCGUUACAGAGGGAUUAUAUGUAGAAGUUCAAUAACUAAAACUGUUUGGACCGGAAGUAUAACCACCGCUAACUAUGAAAGGAGUUCGUGAUACUAGCACUGUUAUACGAAUCAAAGGCUUGCAGAGGAGAACGAUACAAAUAGUAAUUGAAUAAGGAUCUUGUUAAACCUCUGACGGAGAGCAAUAUGCACGCAGAAAGCCAAAGAUUGGAAACAGUUGUUCGUACCUGACUUUCGAGAAACCAGUGUGAUUUGAUUGGUGUAUCAAUGUGAUUUUGACAACGUAGUAACUUGUGUACAAAACAUUAUUGUACGGGCACAAGAUGAAGGCAUUACCUGUACAACGUUUAUGUGACGGUUCCAAAUGAAGUUAAUAUGAAGUUACUGCUAUACAAUUAUAUAAGUGGCAAGUUGAGGUUAGUGUGUUUGAUAGUGACAAUAUGUGACAUAACAUAACAACAUGAAAGGAAUAUAUACAAAAGUGCUAGUGACAGGAUGGAGACACUGUUUGACAUUGUGCAAGGUACUGCAGAGGCAAUUGUACCCAUGACACGAUGAAGGUACUGUUUGACAGUUGUACCUGUUGGAUGAUGAAGGUACUGAUGUGACAAUUGUACCUGUGGGAUGAUGAAGGUACCGUUUCACAAUUGUACCUGUGCAGCGAUGAAGGUACCGUUUGACAUUUGUACCUGUGGGAUGAUGAAGGUACUGAUGUGACAAUUGUACCUGUGCCGCGAUGAAGGUACUGUUUGACAAUUGUACCUGUGCUGCGAUGAAGGUACUGUUUGACAAUUGUACCUGUGGGAUGAUGAAGGUACCGUUUGACAAUUGUACCUGUGCCGUGAUGAAGGUACUGUUUGACAAUUGUACCUGUGGGAUGAUGAAGGUACCAUUUGACAAUUGUACCUGUGGGAUGAUGAAGGUACCGUUUGACAAUUGUACCUGUGCCGUGAUGAAGGUACUGUUUGACAAUUGUACCUGUGCCGCGAUGAAGGUACCGUUUGACAAUUGUACCUGUGCCGUGAUGAAGGUACCGUUUGACAAUUGUACCUGUGCCAUGAUGAAGGUACCGUUUGACAAUUGUACCUGUGCCGUGAUGAAGGAACCGUUUGACAAUUGUACCUGUGGGAUGAUGAAGGUACCGUUUGACAAUUGUACCUGUGCCGUGCUGAAGGUACCGUUUGACAAUUGUACCUGUGCCGUGAUGAAGGUACCGUUAUGGAAUGUUGUCUGUACCAAUAACACUUUGAGGCAUUACAAACAAAUAUUUUCAGGAAGGAACUUAUAUUCGGUAGACUGCAUUCAAUGCGUCUAACUGAAGUGCGUAUUUCCCCAGUCUGGGGUAUUCAGGAUGUGUUCAGAGAGGUGUUCGUAACGACUUGUUGUCAGGCUGGGUUUUCAGCAUUGAGAUAUUGUAUUGGCUUUACAUUAAGACAGGCAUUUUUUGUUUUUGUUCUUUUGUUUAUUUUUUGUUAUUUUUUUUAAUGUAUUUUUUGCUUUAAUAACUUUUAGAUAGGUACCCCCCUGAAUCCGAUCCACUUUGAUAGGGUAAAUCAUCGGGCAAUACUACCAAAUUCAGGGUAAAAUCAUCACCGGACAAUAUAAUUGUCGACCAAGUUAACCCACAGUCGAAAUGUAAAUCAUCGAACGAUACUUCAUACAUCAUAUUCACUAAUGCGUAAUCUAAGUCAUAUAUAUUUUUCUACAUGACGUAUCUACCAAUUCAACAUCCUGAUUCUCUCAAUUGUCCAAGGUAACAGAAAUCGUUUUGGUGCCAAUGUAAUAAAGACGUUGUUUACUUGGGUUUGGUACUGCAUACAAAGAAUACGUACAGACCUCCAAAUACCGACAGAGGUAAGGCAGACCUCCAAUAAGGCAGACCUCAAAAUACCGACAGUGGUAUUAUAACAGGGACGUAUUAAGACAGACCUCCAAAUACCGACAGAGGUAUUAUAACAGGGACGUAUUAAGACAGCCCUCCAAAUACCGACAGAGGUAUUAUAACAGGGACGUAUUAAGACAGACCUCCAAAUACCGACAGAGGUAUUAUAACAGUGACUUAUUAAUGCAGACCUCCAAAUACCGACAGAGGUAUUAUAACAGGGACGUAUUAAGCCAGACCUCCAAAUACCGACAGAGGUAUUAUAACAGUGACUUAUUAAUGCAGACCUCCGAAUACCGACAGAGGU
rnacentral:lncRNA from 1 species